rnacentral:rRNA from 2 species
AAAUUGAAGAGUUUGAUCAUGGCUCAGAUUGAACGCUGGCGGCAGGCCUAACACAUGCAAGUCGAACGGUAACAGGAAGCAGCUUGCUGCUUCGCUGACGAGUGGCGGACGGGUGAGUAAUGUCUGGGAAACUGCCUGAUGGAGGGGGAUAACUACUGGAAACGGUGGCUAAUACCGCAUAACGUCGCAAGACCAAAGAGGGGGCCCUUCGGGCCUCUUGCCAUCAGAUGUGCCCAGAUGGGAUUAGCUAGUUGGUGAGGUAACGGCUCACCAAGGCGACGAUCCCUAGCUGGUCUGAGAGGAUGACCAGCCACACUGGAACUGAGACACGGUCCAGACUCCUACGGGAGGCAGCAGUGGGGAAUAUUGCACAAUGGGCGCAAGCCUGAUGCAGCCAUGCCGCGUGUAUGAAGAAGGCCUUCGGGUUGUAAAGUACUUUCAGCGGGGAGGAAGGUGUUGUGGUUAAUAACC